rnacentral:rRNA from 1 species
GUGGGGAAUAUUGGACAAUGGGCGCAAGCCUGAUCCAGCCAUGCCGCGUGAGUGAUGAAGGCCCUAGGGUUGUAAAGCUCUUUCAGUGGGGACGAUAAUGACGGUACCCACAGAAGAAGCCCCGGCUAACUUCGUGCCAGCAGCCGCGGUAAUACGAAGGGGGCUAGCGUUGUUCGGAUUUACUGGGCGUAAAGCGCACGUAGGCGGAUCGUUAAGUCGAGGGUGAAAUCCUGGAGCUCAACUCCAGAACUGCCUUCGAUACUGGCGAUCUUGAGUCCGGAAGAGGUGAGUGGAACUCCUAGUGUAGAGGUGGAAUUCGUAGAUAUUAGGAAGAACACCAGUGGCGAAGGCGGCUCACUGGUCCGGUACUGACGCUGAGGCUCGAAGGCCAGGGGAGCAAAAGGGAUUAGAUACCCCAGUAGUCC